GAUGAACGCUGGCGGCGUGCCUAAUACAUGCAAGUCGAGCGAACGGACGAGAAGCUUGCUUCUCUGAUGUUAGCGGCGGACGGGUGAGUAACGCGUGGAUAACCUACCUAUAAGACUGGGAUAACUUCGGGAAACCGUAGCUAAUACCGGAUAAUAUUUUGAACCGCAUGGUUCAAAAGUGAAAGACGGUCUUGCUGUCACUUAUAGAUGGAUCCGCGCUGCAUUAGCUAGUUGGUAAGGUAACGGCUUACCAAGGCGACGAUGCAUAGCCGACCUGAGAGGGUGAUCGGCCACACUGGAACUGAGACACGGUCCAGACUCCUACGGGAGGCAGCAGUAGGGAAUCUUCCGCAAAGGGCGAAAGCCUGACGGAGCAACGCCGCGUGAGUGAUGAAGGUCUUCGGGUCGUAAAGCUCUGUUAUUAGGGAAGAACAUAUGUGUAAGUAACUGUGCACAUCUUGACGGUACCUAAUCAGAAAGCCACGGCUAACUACGUG
rnacentral:rRNA from 1 species